rnacentral:lncRNA from 1 species
AUGGCAUCGAGAAUACAUCUAUGGAGAUAUUGAAGAGUUAUUCCACGACAUUAUAUGAAGAUGUUCAUAUCUAUCAAGAAUGAUAAUUUCAAGGUGCGAUUUUAUUCAAAUCAAUAUGGCUGAUUUAUUUAUCAAAUCUCUAUCAAAGGUCGUUUUGAAGAUGAUGCACAAGAUUGGAAUACAAAUGCUAAAGGAUGUCAGUUGAUGCUCUAUUCAGGG